rfam:Salmo salar isolate Sally breed double haploid chromosome ssa01, whole genome shotgun sequence.
UGCAUUCACUACUGUAAGUCACUCUGGAUAAGAGUGUCUGCUAAAUGACUAAAA